ACACACACACACACACUCUACGGGAGCCAGCCCCAGCGUGUGUUGGACCGGCCCAUCACGGUCCAGGCGGUGGGGACCAACGGUCGGAUCUUCCAGUUCCUGGUUCUCCAGCUCAACACCACGGACCUCUCCGGAGACGACGGCAUCAAGAACCAGGUGUGGCUGGAUGAAGACGCCGAGCUCUACGACUUUGCCAAGGUGCGGCCGCUCAUCAAGAAGAAGCAGGUGAAGGUCCCAGCUGGUCUGUCUGGAUACAGGCCGGAAGUCUUCAACAAAUUCCUGGCCCUGUACCUGCACGGAGCUGUAGCCCCCCGUCUGUGACAUCUCACUCAAUAAAGUCACUGAUGCUCUGA